rnacentral:rRNA from 1 species
GAUGAACGCUGGCGGCGUGCCUAAUACAUGCAAGUCGAGCGGACGGACGAGAAGCUUGUGUCUCGGACGUUAGCGGCGCAGGUGUGAGUCACACGAGGAUCACCUACCUAUAUGACGGGGAAAACUUCGAGACACCGGAGCUAAUACCGUAUGAGAUUUUGCUCCGCAGGGUUCAAAAGUGAGAGACGGUGUUUCCGGCGGUUGGGGAUGGAUUCGCGCUGUAUCAGCUGGUUGGUGGGGUAGCGGCUUACCAAGGCAACGACGGGUAGCCGGCCUGAGAGGGUGACCGGCCACAUUGGGACUGAGAUACGGCCCAGACUCCUACGGGAGGCAGCAGUGGGGAAUAUUGCACAAUGGGCGGAAGCCUGAUGCAGCAACGCCGCGUGCGGGAUGACGGCCUUCGGGUUGUAAACCGCUUUCGCCUGUGACGAAGCGUGAGUGACGGUAAUGGGUAAAGAAGCACCGGCUAACUACGUG